AACAGAUAAGGAGCUUGCUCCUUUGACGUUAGCGGCGGACGGGUGAGUAACACGUGGGUAACCUACCUAUAAGACUGGGAUAACUUCGGGAAACCGGAGCUAAUACCGGAUAAUAUAUUGAACCGCAUGGUUCAAUAGUGAAAGACGGUUUUGCUGUCACUUAUAGAUGGAUCCGCGCCGCAUUAGCUAGUUGGUAAGGUAACGGCUUACCAAGGCAACGAUGCGUAGCCGACCUGAGAGGGUGAUCGGCCACACUGGAACUGAGACACGGUCCAGACUCCUACGGGAGGCAGCAGUAGGGAAUCUUCUGCAAUGGGCGAAAGCCUGACGGAGCAACGCCGCGUGAGUGAUGAAGGUCUUCGGAUCGUAAAACUCUGUUAUUAGGGAAGAACAAAUGUGUAAGUAACUAUGCACGUCUUGACGGUACCUAAUCAGAAAGCCACGGCUAACUACGUGCCAGCAGCCGCGGUAAUACGUAGGUGGCAAGCGUUAUCCGGAAUUAUUGGGCGUAAAGCGCGCGUAGGCGGUUUUUUAAGUCUGAUGUGAAAGCCCACGGCUCAACCGUGGAGGGUCAUUGGAAACUGGAAAACUUGAGUGCAGAAGAGGAAAGUGGAAUUCCAUGUGUAGCGGUGAAAUGCGCAGAGAUAUGGAGGAACACCAGUGGCGAAGGCGACUUUCUGGUCUGUAACUGACGCUGAUGUGCGAAAGCGUGGGGAUCAAACAGGAUUAGAUACCCUGGUAGUCCACGCCGUAAACGAUGAGUGCUAAGUGUUAGGGGGUUUCCGCCCCUUAGUGCUGCAGCUAACGCAUUAAGCACUCCGCCUGGGGAGUACGACCGCAAGUUG
rnacentral:rRNA from 1 species